rnacentral:rRNA from 1 species
GAUGAACGCUGGCGGCGUGCCUAAUACAUGCAAGUCGAGCGAACAGACGAGGAGCUUGCUCCUCUGACGUUAGCGGCGGACGGGUGAGUAACACGUGGAUAACCUACCUAUAAGACUGGGAUAACUUCGGGAAACCGGAGCUAAUACCGGAUAAUAUAUUGAACCGCAUGGUUCAAUAGUGAAAGACGGUUUUGCUGUCACUUAUAGAUGGAUCCGCGCCGCAUUAGCUAGUUGGUAAGGUAACGGCUUACCAAGGCAACGAUGCGUAGCCGACCUGAGAGGGUGAUCGGCCACACUGGAACGGGGACACGGUCCAGACUCCUACGGGAGGCAGCAGUAGGGAAUCUUCCGCAAUGGGCGAAAGCUUGACGGAGCAACGCCGCGUGAGUGAUGAAGGUCUUCGGAUCGUAAAACUCUGUUAUUAGGGAAGAACAAAUGUGUAAGUAACUAUGCACGUCUUGACGGUACCUAAUCAGAAAGCCACGGCUAACUACGUG